AUUGAACGCUGGCGGCAGGCCUAACACAUGCAAGUCGAACGAGUGGCGGACGGGUGAGUAAUGUCUGGGAAACUGCCCGAUGGAGGGGGAUAACUACUGGAAACGGUAGCUAAUACCGCAUACCAUCGGAUGUGCCCAGAUGGGAUUAGCAAGUGGGUGGGGUAACGGCUCACCUAGCCGACGAUCCCUAGCUGGUCUGAGAGGAGGACCAGCCACCCUGGAACUGACACACGGCCCAGACUCCUACGGGAGGCAGCAGUGGGGAAUAUUGCACUAUGGGCGCAAGCCUGAUGCAGCCAGGCCGCGUGUAUGAAGAAGGCCUUCGGGUUGUAAGGUACUUUCAGCGGGGAGGCGUUACCCGCAGAAGAAGCACCGGCUAACUCCGUGCCAGCAGCCGCGGUAAUAC
rnacentral:rRNA from 1 species